GUGCACGGGAAGCAGUGGGAUGGCCAACGUGCAGACCUUCCACAGGUUGCACUGUGCGUGUGGCAGGCAAUGCGCAAGGCGCAGUGGAUCCUCAGUGGCUAGGCGCGACAAAAGUUCUAUCUGAACUGUGUCAAUUACAAUGUAGAAGGUGCCAGGUUUUGCGAAGUGUACCUCUGGGAGGAUGACCUCGACAGGUACACGAACCAGCGUUACCAAGCUGCUAUUGAUCUUGCCAACUACCACAAGACUCGUCACGAGAGGUGCGAGGAGAAGCUGGACGAGGUUUAUGAAGAGCUCGAGGAGGCAAAUGCUGAGAUAAGGAAGCUCAAGAGGAUGAACAAGGCACUCCAGAUGGCUUUAGCGGCUACUGCACCAGUCAGCUGCAAUCAUAGCGAUCACGUCUGCAUGGGUGGCUAAGUGAGACAGAUGUCAUUGACCUAGAGAUUUGGUGGCCCAUACACCAUCUAUUUGUAUCUUACUGCUUUUUAAGUGUCCACUUGUUAGGAGCUUGGAAGUUUUGUUUCCUACUAAAGGCUCAGUGCCUGAUGUAGUGUAUCAAGCGGUGGUAGCAGUUGUCAGUCGGCAAUUUAUUUAUUUUUUCGAAACGGAGGCAAAAGAUUUGCCUCAUCCAUUAAAUAAGAGGAGAAUAGAGUUUAGAGUUUUUACAA